ACGGGAGGCAGCAGUGGGGAAUAUUGCACAAUGGGCGAAAGCCUGAUGCAGCAACGCCGCGUGAGGGAAGACGGUUUUCGGAUUGUAAACCUCUGUUUUCGGUGACGAACAAAUGACGGUAACCGAGUAGGAAGCCACGGCUAACUACGUGCCAGCAGCCGCGGUAAUACGUAGGUGGCAAGCGUUAUCCGGAAUUACUGGGUGUAAAGGGAGCGCAGGCGGGAUAGCAAGUCAGCUGUGAAAACUAUGGGCUCAACCCAUAAACUGCAGUUGAAACUGUUAUUCUUGAGUGGAGUAGAGGCAAGCGGAAUUCCGAGUGUAGCGGUGAAAUGCGUAGAUAUUCGGAGGAACACCAGUGGCGAAGGCGGCUUGCUGGGCUCUAACUGACGCUGAGGCUCGAAAGUGUGGGGAGCAAACAGGAUUAGAUACCCUGGUA
rnacentral:rRNA from 1 species